CGGCGGACGGGUGAGUAACACGUGGGUAACCUACCUAUAAGACUGGGACAACUUCGGGAAACCGGAGCUAAUACCGGAUAAGAUAUCGAACCGCAUGGUUCGAUAGUGAAAGAUGGUUUUGCUAUCACUUAUAGAUGGACCCGCGCCGUAUCAGCUAGUUGGUGAGGUAACGGCUCACCAAGGCAACGAUACGUAGCCGACCUGAGAGGGUGAUCGGCCACACUGGAACUGAGACACGGUCCAGACUCCUACGGGAGGCAGCAGCA
rnacentral:rRNA from 1 species